rnacentral:rRNA from 1 species
AUUGAACGCUGGCUGCCGGCCUAACACAUGCAAGUCGCACGAGUGGCGGACGGGUGAGUAAUGUCUGGGAAACUGCCUGAUGGAGGGGGAUAACUACUGGAUACGGUAGCUAAUACCGCAUACCAUCAGAUGUGCCCCGAUGGGCUUAGCUAGUUGGUGGGGUAACGGCUCACCAAGGCAACGAUCCCUAGCUGGUCUGAGAGGAUGACCAGCAAGACUGGAACUGAGACACUGUCCAGAAUCCUACGGGGGGAAUCAGUGGGGAGUAUUGCACAAUGGGCUAAAGCCUGAUGCAGCCAUGCCGCGUGUAUGAAGAAGGCCUUCGGGUUGUAAAGUACUUUCAGCGGGGAGGCGUUACCCGCAGAAGAGGCACAGGCUAACUCCGUGCCAGCAGACGCGGUAAUAC